UACCGCGGUUAAACGAGUAGGCCCAAGUUGACAGACCCUCGGCGUAAAGCGUGGUUAGAACCUUUUUUUUACUAAAGCCGAAAGCCCUCCGUGCUGUGAUACGCUCUCGAGGGUAUGAAGCCCGAUCACGAAAGUAGCUUUAAUCAUUCGACCCCACGAAAGCUGUGAAA
rnacentral:rRNA from 1 species